CGGAGCAUAGUUAAACAUUAAAGCGUCUCCCUUACACCGAGAAGAUACUCGUGCAAAUCGGGUUGCUCUGAC
rnacentral:tRNA from 1 species